ACUGGUCGAGUCGGCCUGCGCGGAAGAUGUAACGGGGCUAAACCAUGCACCGAAGCUGCGGCAGCGACACUGUGUGUUGUUGGGUAGGGGAGCGUUCUGUAAGCCUGCGAAGGUGUCCCGUGAGGGAUGCUGGAGGUAUCAGAAGUGCGAAUGCUGACAUAAGUAACGAUAAAGCGGGUGAAAAGCCCGCUCGCCGGAAGACCAAGGGUUCCUGUCCAACGUUAAUCGGGGCAGGGUGAGUCGACCCCUAAGGCGAGGCCGAAAGGCGUAGUCGAUGGGAAACGGGUUAAUAUUCCCGUACUUGGUGUUACUGCGAAGGGGGGACGGAGAAGGCUAUGUUGGCCGGGCGACGGUUGUCCCGGUUUAAGCGUGUAGGUGUGUGUUCCAGGUAAAUCCGGUUCACUUUAACACUGAGGCGUGACGACGAGGCACUACGGUGCUGAAGCAACAAAUGCCCUGCUUCCAGGAAAAGCCUCUAAGCAUCAGGUA
rnacentral:rRNA from 1 species